AAUUUAAUUUGUUAUUCUAUCUCUAUUGUUUUUGGCUAAAUGGUAACCGAACCGCACAGUGCAGUGCGUUUCAAAUAAUAACGAAAUUCUUUGCAUAUAUAUGUAUGUAUAUAUUUUUGUUACUAUUUGAACUGUACCGCACUUUAUUCGCAGUUGAACCGCACGUCUCCAUUCGGAGUCUAAGUAAUCUGUGCAAAAGCAUUGUAGAUGAUAUGAAAACAAAAAAAGACAAUUCCUUUAUUGAAAUAUGUUCA
rnacentral:sRNA from 1 species